CUGCGGACAGGUGGUUUCUGCAGCGCCUUUUGUCCAGCUGGCCGGGUUAGCCGGCAGGCUGCUCGGGACAGAGUCUGCCACUGAUCACACAGCGAAGCUGCCGCCUCAGUUACGGCCGUGCAGCAGUGAGCAGUCUCUUUUGAUGUACAUUCUGAAGAGCUUACACAACAGGACAGGGAUUUUUAGCACACUUCAGUUCUUUCCUGAAACAGCAGUGCUAAUGAGACUUGUCUUCCCAUGGAUUAUGUCUCAUGUUUCAUUGCAGAGCUCACCUGAACCCUUUUCCAUAGACAAGAUGCAACAAUUCCAAGCGAAGUCUGUCCUGAACUCCUCCGUGGCUGAGAGCUGGCAGGGGAUGCGCCAUACAGAAGGCUCUCUGAGGUACAGCUUUUCCAAAGUACAUUUAAAAACCAAAACUUUUAACUUGCUGCUGUUGCAUGUGAUGUGUGACUCGGGUUGGGGGAGCAGAAUCAGUUGUGUAGGUUAGGUUUUGGAAAGGAGCAUAUAUUUUCUUCCUGUUGACCUUUUACAUAGUAAUAUAUAAUAUUCAGCAUGAGUGAGAAGUAAGCAAUAGGUAGCACUUAUCUAGGGCUUUUUAGGGUUGCAUUUGAUCAAUAUGGUAUGGAGUAGGAAUAUAGAGGUCUUCCUUGCGAUUCUCUAUCCAGAGAAACAAGGCACCAGGGCCUUAUUAUUACAAGGCACAGAACUGGCAGCUUUCCUGUAAAAGGCCUGCCUGACAGCAUUCCCAUUUUGAUUUUGUCUGUACAAACCACCCAAAGGAAAUGGCAGGACCCCAGCACAGUGGACAUUAACAGACUUUUGCUUUAGCUCUGUGAUAUUGGACACCUAUUCUGUGAUAAGGUGAAAGACUUGUUCUAAUGUAAAAAUAAAACCUAAUAGUAACCUGGAUCUUUUCA
rnacentral:lncRNA from 1 species